GAUGAACGCUGGCGGCGUGCCUAAUACAUGCCAGUCGAGCGAACAGAUAAGGAGCUUGCUCCUUUGACGUUAGCGGCGGACGGGUGAGUAACACGUGGGUAACCUACCUAUAAGACUGGAAUAACUCCGGGAAACCGGGGCUAAUGCCGGAUAACAUUUAGAACCGCAUGGUUCUAAAGUGAAAGAUGGUUUUGCUAUCACUUAUAGAUGGACCCGCGCCGUAUUAGCUAGUUGGUAAGGUAACGGCUUACCAAGGCAACGAUACGUAGCCGACCUGAGAGGGUGAUCGGCCACACUGGAACUGAGACACGGUCCAGACUCCUACGGGAGGCAGCAGUAGGGAAUCUUCCGCAAUGGGCGAAAGCCUGACGGAGCAACGCCGCGUGAGUGAUGAAGGUCUUCGGAUCGUAAAACUCUGUUAUUAGGGAAGAACAAAUGUGUAAGUAACUGUGCACGUCUUGACGGGACCUAAGCAGAAAGCCACGGCUAACUACGU
rnacentral:rRNA from 1 species